GUGGUUCAAGUCCAGUCACCUCU
rnacentral:piRNA from 1 species